UGUUUAAUCUAAGUAACAUUGUUAGUGGCUAGGUCUGCCAUUAACACCCUGCCAUCAGGCUCCAGCCUCUGUGCUUUUAUGUUGAGAUAUGAACCAACAGGGGGGUACACUUGUAAUAAGAUAUCCCAGAGGUUACAACCUAGAGGUUGUGAGGUGAGCUCUGAAAGACAGAAGACUUGAGAGAGAGAAGAAAAUGAACAAAAUUAAGCACACUAAAAAUGGGCAUAUGAGGGGCAGUGGGUUAGGAGGGAGGACCAGGUAGAAGGCUGGGGACCUGGGCAUCUCACGGGCUCUGUAGGUGUUUACAUGGGAGACAUCAGAGACAGUUCACAGGUGUCAAGAUGGCAGCAUGGAGUAGGCUGGAGAAAGGAAGGUGGGAGUACAAAUCCCCAAGGAGGGAUGGCUGAGAGAUGAGGGCAGGACAGCUGAGGAGACCACGGCCUGGCUUCAACAGGACCGUUAAUUCAAGCUAGCAUAAGCAGUAUUUUUACUGUUUUGGUUUUUGUUUUAUCUCUUGAACAAUACUGGAAAAUGCUCUUGAAGGCAAAAUCACUUUUUCUGUAUUCAUUUAGCAGACACGUAACCAUUGUUGGCAAAUGGCUCUGCACUACUACCACAUUAGCAAAUGGUAAAAGCCUUAGCCCUGACCAGGAAGGUUCUGUCUGUCCUGCCUCACAUCUACAUCUGCUCAAGCCCCAGGUGCAAGGUUGAGGUCAUUGGUAGUGCCUGGGCAGCAUAAGAGCCAUCAGAUGCAGAGGCAGGAGCAGUUCUCAGGGAGAAGCCCACUCUUCCAGUUAGGAUGCUAAAUCGAAAAGCUCAGGCUGCCGUGGUUAAAAAUACCCCCUCAAAAAUUUCAGAGGAGCCUGCUAUGCUCCAUUGUUCCAGAGCUUUUCCCAGUCCUGUCACUGGACAAAAAGGAUUUUUUUUUUUAAUCAAAGAAGAAAGAGUAGGAGGUUAAAAAAACCCCUGGAAGAUCAGAGGUCCGUAAGAGUCCCAGUACUUCCUGAGAUUCAUUCAGCAAGAAAUGCCUUAAAAAUUAACCUUGUCAAGUUGUGAUACCUGGAAGAUUGGGAGAUACAAACACCUGUGAUGUGAAGCUGAGCUGUAAGCACUGUCAGUGUCGCCUUUGAGGCUUGGGUAUGUGACACAGGCCAGAUGUCCUCAGCCCAGAAGGGCACAGCAAACCAGGGGCGCUGUGGACCCAGGUUCUGCAGGCCUGGAAAGAUGAGGUUUGGGGGAGAGAUGCACCUGGAUUUGAACCGCAGCCAUAUGACCUGGCCUAGGUGAGGUAAUUUCAGCCAUUUCCCUUCUGCAGAGCAAUCUGGGUACUGGGGAAAUCAACUAACUGCACAUAAAGAGUAUCCUGCUAAGAGUAGGUGCUCAGCAUAGUGUAGUUUUUGUCCCUUCUACCAAUUUCCCUGUGUCACACAGGAUGUCUAUAGUUAAGAGGUUAGGGAAGCAAAGGUUUUGACACAAUCAGAAUUAUUGUCCCAUGUUAAAAUCUAGAGAAAUAUUGCCAUAUUUCCAUCAAAUUUUGACCAUGGUAGCUCACUCUGUUUGCUUAUACUUUGUAUGAUAUAAUCACAGAGAAAUUUUAUUCUUAGAGGCUGAUUUUCAAACCUGCCUUAACCAAGGAGGUGUUUUGAAAAGCUCACUUUCCAGUAGAAGCCUGGCCUCAGCAGAAACCCAGCCAACCCAUAGCCUCUGACACACUGAGCCCAUGUGGGUGGUGUAGUUAUGGGACAGUACUGCCACGCUCCCCCACGAAGUCUUCAGUGAAGGUGACAUUGCAGUCAUGAUGUUGGUCUAACCCAGGGCUCUUACCAGUGUGGGUCCCUAAGCUUUAAACUAUUCUUUGAUAGCCCGAGUGAGAUGCCUUUACUUCCCUUACUAGGAUUCCCACCUUUUCACUAUAAAGUUCUCAUAUAUUCUCCAUGACCCUGUCUGCUGGAGAUUGAACCCAUGGCCUCAGGGCAUGCUGAGUGCUUCAAUCCUAGCUCGGACUCCAAAUUUUGAAGUUAUUCACAAACUUUUAAGGUACAAAUCAACCUUGAAGACCCUGUUUAAAAGCAGAUUCUGAUGGCCAAGGCCCAAAUGAAACUACCAUAGUUGACUCACAGACCAUCUUUGAAUAACAAAGUUUUAAAAUAUGUUCUCCACAUGAUCGCUUCAGCAGCACAUACAUUAAAACAUGUUCUCUCCAGAAGAACCUGGUUUUAGUGAGUGAUAAUUCAUACCCACAUUAUUUUUUACUAAGCACUCACCAUGGUGUUCAGGGUGUUUUGUUUUUUUUCUUUUUUUGUUUAUGGUACUGGAAAUUGAACCCAGGGCCUUCAAACUGAGCUACAUCCUCUGAUCUCUUUUUUUACUUUGAGACAGGAUCUCAUCAAGUUGCUAAGUGACCCAGGCUAGGCUUGAACUUGUGAUCCUCCUGCCUUGGCCUCCCAGUGGGAUUGCAAACAUGUGCCACCAUGUCCAGCUUGUUCAGGAUUUCUGAUCACAUGAGACAGAUGCCUUUGUUGCCACCAGGAGAUGACGUAAUUUCAAGGCCAGGACAGUGUGACUUCCACUUUGAAUUUUGGAAUUGCUGUUCUUUAAACCUUGCUGCUGGAGUCCUUAAUUACUCAGCUGGGAAACUGUCCUUUGAAAACAUGUUGGCUGUUGCCAGUGUUGCAGUGGGUGCAUUUCUAAGAAAAGCAUCGGCAGAUUGCACAUGCAUUGGCCUUGCUGAAAGUCUUCCUGAGCACUGAGCCAGCCCUGUCAUCAGAUACAGUGAAUUUUGGAGGCUGGGAAUCUGAGAUCAAGGAGCCCUCUGACUGGAAGGCCACCUUCACAUCUUAGCAGCAGCAGGCACACGGAGCCUGUAAAUGCAGGUCUGUCUUCCUUUUCUCAUGAAGCCCCUGAUGCCACCAGGGGAUCCCCACCCUUCUCUCAUCUCACCAUGGCCACCUCCCAAGCAUCACCUUUAAAUGUCACCAGCAUAUUAAUUUGGGAACUAAAAUUCUUUUUUCUUUUUUUAAAAUUUUUACUUCAAUAUAAUGCUAGUAGAUAUUAAUAAAGAAAAUGUUUUUUAGAAUUUUUUUUUUGUCUGGUACCAGGGAUCAAACUCAGGUCCUUGCACUUGUGGGGCAGACAGCAGAACCACUGAGUUAAAUCCCCGGGCCAAGAAAAUGUUUUUUAAAAAGAGUCUUCUGUGAGAAAAUAAUGCAAAAUUUCAUAAAUUAAUUUAAAAAUAACAGUUAAUGCACUGUGUUUCAUAAUCUUAACAGAAUGGCUGAAAUGUUAGAGUAUGAGUCAUAGACAAGAGAGAUUCUUACAAAAAAAAAAA